rnacentral:rRNA from 1 species
UACGUAGGGCGCAAGCGUUGUCCGGAAUUAUUGGGCGUAAAGAGCUCGUAGGCGGUUUGUCGCGUCUGCUGUGAAAACCUAAGGCUCAACCUUGGGCUUGCAGUGGGUACGGGCAGACUAGAGUGCGGUAGGGGUGACUGGAAUUCCUGGUGUAGCGGUGGAAUGCGCAGAUAUCAGGAGGAACACCCGGUGGCGAAGGCGGGUCUCUGGGCCGGUAAACUGGACGCUGGAGGAGCGAAAGCCGUGGGGAGCGAACAGG